rfam:TPA: Bos taurus chromosome 22, whole genome shotgun sequence.
UGGCUCAGACGGUAAAGCGUCUGCCUACAAUGCAGGAGACCCGGGUUCAAUCCCUGG